GUAGCAAUAUUGUCUCAGUGGCGAACGGGUGAGUAACGCGUUGGUGACCUGCCCCGAAGAGGGGGAUAACAGUCCGAAAGGAUUGCUAAUACCCCAUGUGGUCAAGAGGAUUAGAUGCCUUAUGACUAAACGGAGAAAUUCGCUUCGGGAGGGGCCUGCGUCCCAUCAGCUAGUUGGUAGGGUAAUAGCCUACCAAGGCGAUGACGGGUAGGGGACCUGAGAGGGUGGCCCCCCACAAUGGAACUGAAACACGGUCCAUACACCUACGGGUGGCAGCAGUAGGGAAUAUUGGUAAUCUGGGAAACCGGGAACCAGCAACGCCGCGUGCGCGAUGAAGGCCUUCGGGUUGUAAAGCGCUUUUUGAGAGGAUGAGGAAGGACAGUACUCUUAGAAUAAGCCUCGGCUAACUACGUGCCAGCAGCCGCGGUAAAACGUAGGAGGCGAGCGUUAUCCGGAUUUACUGGGCGUAAAGCGUGUGUAGGCGGUUUGAUAAGUUGGAUGUGAAAGCUCCUGGCUUAACUGGGAGAGGUCGUUCAAAACUAUCAGACUUGAGAGUGGUAGAGGGAGGUGGAAUUCCGCAUGUAGUGGUGAAAUGCGUAGAUAUGCGGAGGAACACCAGUGGCGAAAGCGGCCUCCUGGCCCAUUUCUGACGCUCAGACACGAAAGCUAAGGUAGCAGACGGGAUUAGAGACCCCGGUAGUCUUAGCUGUAAACGAUGUGAACUUAGUGUCGGUGGGGUUAAAUCCAUCGGUACUGAAGCUAACGCGAUAAGUUCACCGCCUGAGGACUACGGCCGCAAGGUUAAAACUCAAAGGAAUUGACGGGGCCCCGCACAAGCAGCGGAACCGUGUGGUUUAAUUCGAUGU
rnacentral:rRNA from 1 species